rnacentral:rRNA from 1 species
UUGAUCCUGGCUCAGGAUGAACGCUGGCGGUAUGCUUAACACAUGCAAGUCGAACGGUCUUUUAGGAGACAGUGGCGGACGGGUGAGUAACGCGUAAGAAUCUACCUUCAGGUUGGGGACAACCACUGGAAACGGUGGCUAAUACCGAAUGUGCCGAGAGGUGAAAGGCUUGCUGCCUGAAGAAGAGCUUGCGUCUGAUUAGCUAGUUGGUAGUGUAAGAGACUACCAAGGCGACGAUCAGUAGCUGGUCUGAGAGGAUGAUCAGCCACACUGGGACUGAGACACGGCCCAGACUCCUACGGGAGGCAGCAGUGGGGAAUUUUCCGCAAUGGGCGAAAGCCUGACGGAGCAAUACCGCGUGAGGGAGGAAGGCUCUUGGGUUGUAAACCUCUUUUCUCAGGGAAGAACAGAAUGACGGUACCUGAGGAAUAAGCAUCGGCUAACUCCGUGCCAGCAGCCGCGGUAAUACGGAGGAUGCAAGCGUUAUCCGGAAUGAUUGGGCGUAAAGGGUCCGCAGGUGGCAUUGUAAGUCUGCUGUUAAAGAGUUUGGCUCAACCAAAUAAGAGCAGUGGAAACUACAAAGCUAGAGUGUGGUCGGGGCAGAGGGAAUUCCUGGUGUAGCGGUGAAAUGCGUAGAUAUCAGGAAGAACACCAGUGGCGAAGGCGCUCUGCUAGGCCGAGACUGACACUGAGGGACGAAAGCUAGGGGAGCGAAUGGGAUUAGAUACCCCAGUAGUCCUAGCCGUAAACGAUGGAUACUAGGCGUAGCUCGUAUCGACCCGAGCUGUGCCGGAGCUAACGCGUUAAGUAUCCCGCCUGGGGAGUACGCAGGCAACUGUGAAACUCAAAGGAAUUGACGGGGGCCCGCACAAGCGGUGGAGUAUGUGGUUUAAUUCGAUGCAACGCGAAGAACCUUACCAAGGCUUGACAUGUCACGAAUCCUAUUGAAAGAUGGGAGUGCCUUCGGGAGCGUGAACACAGGUGGUGCAUGGCUGUCGUCAGCUCGUGUCGUGAGAUGUUGGGUUAAGUCCCGCAACGAGCGCAACCCUCGUUUUUAGUUGCCAGCAUUAAGAUGGGCACUCUAGAGAGACUGCCGGUGACAAACCGGAGGAAGGUGGGGAUGACGUCAAGUCAGCAUGCCCCUUACGUCUUGGGCUACACACGUACUACAAUGCUCCGGACAAAGGGCAGCUACACAGCGAUGUGAUGCGAAUCUCAUAAACCGGAGCUCAGUUCAGAUCGAAGGCUGCAACUCGCCUUCGUGAAGGAGGAAUCGCUAGUAAUUGCAGGUCAGCAUACUGCAGUGAAUUCGUUCCCGGGCCUUGUACACACCGCCCGUCACACCAUGGAAGUUGGUCACGCCCGAAGUCGUUACCCCAACCUAUUGGAGGGGGAUGCCUAAGGUAGGACUGAUGACUGGGGUGAAGUCGUAACAAGGGUAGCCGUACCGGAAGGUGUGGCUGGAUCACCUCCUUUUAGGGAGACCUAAUCCAUUUAGAAAUUGAGGGUGAUGAAAAUUGCCAAUAAAAACUAAAUUGGUCUAACCUAGGUCGGUCGAGAUUGGUAAAUAUCUUUCAAAGUAUUAUUU